UCUUUCUUUUUCUUGCUGUCUUGCCUAGGUUGGAGUACAGUGGUGUGAUCAGAGAUCCCUGUAACCUUAAACGUGUUGGUUCAAGUGAUCCUCCUGCCUCAGCCUCCCAAGUAACUAGGAUUACGUGCAUGUGCCAUCAUGCCUGGUUAAUUUUAUUUUUUUGUAGAGCUGUGAUCUCACUGUGUUGCCUGGUCUGGCCUCUAAUUACUGGGUUCAAGGAAUCCUCCCAUCUAUGUGGGCUGGAUUUUUCACCUACGGGAAUUAAACUUCUCUUCUAUAAUGGCAGUUGACUGAAAGAGCUUGUGUGUGUGUGUGUGUGUGUGUGUGUGUGUGUUUAAUAACCAGUUUUGCCGGAGCCAUAGUGCAAACCCAGGAACACUGUUUUCUUUCUCCGUACACAGCAUGGAGGCAGGUUACAGAGAGAGCACCAUGGAAAAAGUCAGAUUUUUUCUGGGAUUUGAAUCAGGAGUCUGAAGAGGAGAGGGAUGGAUGUGCAGAGGCCACGAGGCAAAGAUCAGUGAUCUGGACCAGAGAAGCUGCUUGGAAGAAGUGAGACAAGCCAUGCUAGUGAAGGCCAGGUGCUUGCGGGGGCUCAGAGCCUGCCAGUUACAUUAGUUUGCUGUGAUGCACAUUGCAAAGAGGCGGCUGGUCAAGGAUCAGUGGCAUGGUGAAGUGUCUCCAGGGUGCACCGCUUCUGUGGCAGUUUGGUGUGGACAGAGUCCGGGCAGGCUCUGUGUAGCAAGCCUGUCAUGAGAGGUUAGGACCGAGAUGGCGGUUGGUGUGACAGAAACAAGGAAAGGGAAGAACAUAUAGAGCAAGAACACAGGAGAACAAAGAAAGGUCAGGACCGUCAGCCUCCAAAGGCCACUGAGGAUGAGGGGCCAUCUACUAGAAUGGAAAACGGAGAUGUACUUUUGGGGAAAGGAUCUUAAAUUUGGUUUAACAGAGCAGGCCUUCAGCAAAUACAAGAAUUUUUAAUUUCAAGUAGGAAGAUAUUAGCAGUGUUUUCUAAUAUUUGUUUUCGGAAAGGUUUAUGUCGUUUUAGUUCACACCACUCUGUCGGCCAGCGUCUUUAACUUGUCUAACUUGUUUAGAGGUCCUAACGACACCUCUGAGACUCUGCUAGUCUAAGUGUGGUUUGGGGACCAAUGGCAUCAGCACCAUUUAGGCACUUGUUAGAAUAUAGAGUCUACGGGCCAGGUGUGAUGGCUCACACCUGUAAUCCCAGCACUUUGGGAGGCCAAGGCAGGCGGAUCACCUGAGAUCUGAAGUUUGAGACCAGCCUGGCCAACAUGGUGAAACCCUGUCUCUACUAAAAAUACAAACAUUAGCCAGGCAUGGUGGUGCAUGCCUGUAGUCUCAGCUAUUCGGGAGGCUGAGGCAGGAGAAUUACCUGAACCCAGGAGGUGGAGGUAGCAGUGAGUCAAGAUCAUGCCACUGCACUCCAGCCUGGGUGACAGAGUGAGACUCUGUUUC